AAGCCUACUCCAAUUAUUAGCUCACAUCGACGGGAAGUUUUGGCACCUCGAUGUCGGCUCUUCGCCACCUGGAGCUGUAGUAUAUGUUUUAAGGGUUGGACCGUUCGUCCAUUAAAGUGGUACGUGAGCUGGAUUCAGAACGUCGUGAGGCAGUUC
rnacentral:ncRNA from 1 species